CGCAGGUGUAUAUCUAUGCUGCUGCGGUUAAAAAGCUCGUAGUUGGAUCUGCGUGCUCGGAACCGGUUGGCUCACUGAGUUUAAACUGGUCUCCGGCGCUUUAUCGGCUGGUUUUCCCUUGAUGCUCUUAACCGGGUGUCUUGGGUGGCUAGCACGUUUACUUUGAAAAAAUUAGAGUGCUCAAUACAGGCGCAAAGCCUUGAAUAGUGGUGCAUGGAAUAAUAGAAUAGGACCUCGGUUCUAUUUUGUUGGUUUUCGGAACACGAGGUAAUGAUUAAGAGGGACAGACGGGGGCAUUCGUAUUUCAUAGUCAGAGGUGAAAUUCUUGGAUUUAUGAAAGACGAACCACUGCGAAAGCAUUUGCCAAGGAUGUUUUCAUUAAUCAAGAACGAAAGUUGGGGGCU
rnacentral:rRNA from 1 species